rnacentral:misc_RNA from 1 species
GAUAGCUACUACUACCAAAGGCCCGUAAUAAUCGCCCUCGUGAAGGGGCAACGAUGCAAGUUUCCCUGCUGAAAAAUCGGAACGUUCCGUUUUACGUUAGAAUCGCUGUUAUUUCCAGUGUUAUUUAAUUUUUUAAUUAUACGUGUACCUUGUUGCGAUACCGUGGCCGGCAAAAGUACACCGGGUUUAGUGACGAAAUCUUGCACGUUGCUCUUUUUUAUUCUUCCGUUUGUCAGGUAAACUUCGAGCCACAAACGAUACCUGGUACCCGGUUUAAGAUCGCUGAUCACCGUUUUCGGAUGCAAGUCGCUCUUGGCAAUCUUGAACGUGCUUGUGUCUUCUUUGCCACUGUCACUUUGAUAAAUCGCUCGAUAAAUAUUCACGUAUUUGUCUUCCGGGUAAGGUACUCCGGUCCAAGUUACUUCCACACCUGUCGACUUGAUCGUCUUGAUCUCCACUUUCACGUCGAACGAGUAUGGAUUCGGCUCCAUCGAGCUCUGUCAAUUGUCCUGGGAAUGGAACGAAGAGGAUUCCGAUCUCGUAGGCGGUCGAUGGCCGAAGAUUCUCGAUCACGUAAUUCCUCACCGCUCUGUGGAUCAACGGUGUUCCGGCGUAAACCUUGGCGUCGUUCUCUUUGUAUCUCAACUGAACGCCGUCGAUAAAUUGUGACUCGUAUUCCGUGAAUUUCCUCCACAUCACGUUGAUCCACGUGGAAUUUGUCUCUGUGACAUGGAGCUCAGCGUCGAUCGGUAUUUGAGGCGGCAGCGUGGUCGCUUCCGCACGUUUCUCCAGCGUUUUCACGCUGUAGAUUUUGCUGGUGGAACUGUUGGCCAAAUCCUUCAGCUUCACCGUGAUCUUCACUUUGUACUCGGUAGAAGGCUUCAAAUCGCCCAGCUCGAACUCGAGCUGCGGAGUUGCGAUCAGGUCGUUUGGUGGCGUAAAUACUUGCGACUUCCAGCUCGACGCGUCCAUGAAGUCCAACUAGAACCUGCGGCACCGUGAAAACGAGCCGAACGGUGUUCUCGUCGAGAGCCUCGAGGAUCUGCACGGUGACCUCGUCCAAGGAGGAAGCAACAGGGUAUCCAGGAAUGGCACCAGGCAAUGGAAAGCCCGCUGGCACGUUGUGCUCCAUACCUGGAUUUCACGAACAAAG